UUUAAAAAAAAGAAAAAUCAAGAAGGGGUCCUGCGUUUCAGGCUCUAGUAACAAGAAGAAAGCAAAGAAUGGAGAGGAAAUACUAGGACUAGAUGUGGGUGUGGGAUGAGGUUAGGUCUAUGCCAUUUUCACUGAACUAGAUGCCAGAUUCUGGGCCAGUUUCCUAAUCUCUGUUUACUCAUACUUAAAAUGAGGCUAACCCUACCCAUUUCUAAUUAAUAUGCGAAAUAACAAUAGUUAAUCCCUCUAAGCACUUAUCACGUACAAGGCACUUGUGUAAAUACCUUGCAUGCAGUAACUUGCUGUCUUUGAGCAACUGACUUAUGAGGUAGAUACUUUCAUCAUCCCCAUUUUACGGAUGAGGAUGUAGAAGCUCAGAGAGGGAAAUGGCAGAUCCAUAUUUCACACCUCUUCCAUCGGACUACAGAGACAGUGUUUCCACCAACGGUUUACAAUGCCUCUCAUUAAAUACUACUUAUUUUACAUCAUUGCGAUCAGAGGGGUUAUAAUUUCUGGUUUCACUGGCAGGAUAUAAUUACCGAUUCAACCUAUUCAUUUGUUUAAGAAGUGUUUGCAGAGUCUACGUAUGUACAUACAUUUUACUCAGCAUGAGGAUCGAUCCAAGCAUAGAUUUCAGCUUCAAAAAUGUUCCUGCGGUUACUAUGUACAGAAGUUCUGUGUGGGAGAUUUGAGAGAGAAAAACAAAAUGGCACCUCUGUUACUUAAGAGGAAUAUUAAUGGGGUGGAGAAGAUAAUGGGCAUCAUCACAGUGAGCUUCCUACAAUGUGCCUCUGAGUACAAGGAUUUACCAUUUUCCCUGCUUAAUCUUUUUUUUCCUGACUUCAUUGGGUAAAACAUAAAAUGUCGCUGAAUUAUUAUAAGAGCAGUGCAGGAUAAGGAUGCAAUACAGAGGUUUGGAAAACCGAAGGAAGUCCCCUCACCAAGAGGAAGACAACAGAAGAUGAUUAUGCCUCUCCCCGCAGCUGGCCAUUCCUUCCACCCCAAGGGAGGAUUCUGGGGUUCUGUGUACUAGGCUUGCGAAAAACAGAUUCUCUCUUUGCUGUGGUUUCCCAUUAAGUGUGUGAGACAUGGAGGAAUCAUAAUCUGUACUUGGGGCCAGGUUAGCAAAUCUAGAAGAUGACCAUUGGACCCUGCGGAGAAUGGAACAGAUAGAAAUAAGAGAGAGAUUUUCUCUUAUUCUCCAAAACUUGGUACACAGAGUAAAGACUACAGACUGAAUGCCAGAACAAGCAUAUCUGAGUUUUGCACACGGGGGGGGGGGGUGGUGGUGGUGGUGGUGGGAGGAAGACUAAGAAAUCAGCGGCAUUUGGGGAAAUAAAUGGACUUCAUGGACUUGACCCACUGGGAGAUCAUCGUGUUAUGUGAAUUACAGAAUACUUGGGUGUUACAUUUCAUAAUUCAAUUUUUAACAGACGAUCUACCCUGUAUGACAGAA